CGAGGCCUACGGGGGGCAGCAGUGGGGAAUAUUGCACAAUGGGGGAAACCCUGAUGCAGCGACGCCGCGUGAGCGAAGAAGUAUUUCGGUAUGUAAAGCUCUAUCAGCAGGGAAGAAAAAUGACGGUACCUGAGUAAGAAGCACCGGCUAAAUACGUGCCAGCAGCCGCGGUAAUACGUAUGGUGCAAGCGUUAUCCGGAUUUACUGGGUGUAAAGGGAGCGCAGGGGGUGCGGCAGGUCUGAUGUGAGAGCCCUGGG
rnacentral:rRNA from 1 species